GACGAACGCUGGCGGCGUGCCUAAUACAUGCAAGUCGAACGCAGUGGGGACGGGUGAGUAACACGUGGGUAACCUCCCAUCAGAGGGGAUAACACUUGGAAACAGGUGCUAAACCGAUACUGAUGGAUGGACCCGCGGUGCAUUAGCUGGUUGGGGAGGUAACGGCUCAACAAGGCCACGAUGCAUAGACGACCUGAGAGGGUGACAUGCCACACGGGAACUGAGACACGGCCCAGACGCCUACGGGAGGCAGCAGUGGGGAAUAUUCGGCAAUGGACGAAAGUCUGACCGAGCAACGCAGCGUGUGUGAAGAAGGUUUUCGGAUCGUAAAGCUCUGUUGUGAGAGAAGCGGUAUCUAACCAGAAAGCCACGGCUAACUCCGUGCCAGCAGCCGCGGUAAUAC
rnacentral:rRNA from 1 species